rnacentral:lncRNA from 1 species
AGCAACAAUAGUGUAAUAGCUCAAUUAUUUUUCAGGUAACUUGUGCAACCAGCUAGGAAUUAUAGUUGGGAAAGACAUUUUUCCUAGAACAAAAAGGGCACUGAACAACAGACAUCUGUAUACAGAUCCAAAGGUCAUGGGCUGGAAAGCUAAGAAGAAAUUUAAACAAGUUGUACAUUAGUGGAAGAGGCUCAGCUUGAGAUCUAAUAUUCUUCUGCAGAUUUCAGCUGUAUGGAAAAUGCACAGGAUCUGCAUUUCUUACAAAUUUACAUGGAGAAUAUGGGAAGAGGAUGGAAAAUCAAAUUUUGAAGAAACUGCACUUGGUAGAUAUUUCAUGUGUUGCAGACUUAAUAUAAGGUCUGUCUAUAUCAUGAUUUUCUUUCAAAAACAUUUUAUCAUUUUGACAUUUACCAACUCAAUUUUUCUCAUUGAAGAUAUUUUCUUUGUUUAGUUCUGUAGAGACUUUCAGAUUUAUUGCUCCCUUUCUUACAUUUUUAUCUGUAACCCUAAGUCUCCCUGAAUACUUAUGCUUUUGUCCAUAUCCCAUAUAUCUUGAAAUACGUGUUUUUCUUAUUGUAUCAUAAGUUCUUCUAUUUAUGGAUGAAGAGAUUUUCUCUUUUCCUCUACUCUACUUCUUGUUCUAGCCAUGUCUCAGCUCCCCCAGUUUCAUGUCUGUCUCUUACUAAAUCUUUUGUCUCUGGCACAGCUGAGUAACUCUGUGGAAUUACUGUGAGGUUAAUUCACC